GGCCUAAUACAUGCAAGUCGAACGGCAGCACGGAGCUUGCUCUGGUGGCGAGUGGCGAACGGGUGAGUAAUAUAUCGGAACGUACCCUGGAGUGGGGGAUAACGUAGCGAAAGUUACGCUAAUACCGCAUACGAUCUAAGGAUGAAAGUGGGGGAUCGCAAGACCUCAUGCUCGUGGAGCGGCCGAUAUCUGAUUAGCUAGUUGGUAGGGUAAAAGCCUACCAAGGCAUCGAUCAGUAGCUGGUCUGAGAGGACGACCAGCCACACUGGAACUGAGACACGGUCCAGACUCCUACGGGAGGCAGCAGUGGGGAAUUUUGGACAAUGGGCGAAAGCCUGAUCCAGCAAUGCCGCGUGAGUGAAGAAGGCCCUCGGGUUGUAAAGCUCUUUUGUCAGGGAAGAAACGGUGAGAGCUAAUAUCUCUUGCUAAUGACGGUACCUGAAGAAUAAGCACCGGCUAACUACGUGCCAGCAGCCGCGGUAAUACGUAGGGUGCAAGCGUUAAUCGGAAUUACUGGGCGUAAAGCGUGCGCAGGCGGUUUUGUAAGUCUGAUGUGAAAUCCCCGGGCUCAACCUGGGAAUUGCAUUGGAGACUGCAAGGCUAGAAUCUGGCAGAGGGGGGUAGAAUUCCACGUGUAGCAGUGAAAUGCGUAGAUAUGUGGAGGAACACCGAUGGCGAAGGCAGCCCCCUGGGUCAAGAUUGACGCUCAUGCACGAAAGCGUGGGGAGCAAACAGGAUUAGAUACCCUGGUAGUCCACGCCCUAAACGAUGUCUACUAGUUGUCGGGUCUUAAUUGACUUGGUAACGCAGCUAACGCGUGAAGUAGACCGCCCUGGGGAGUACGGUCGCAAGAUUAAAACUCAAAGGAAUUGACGGGGACCCGCACCAAGCGGUGGAUGAUGUGGAUUAAUUCGAUGCAACGCGAAAAACCUUACCUACCCUUGACAUGGCUGGAAUCCCCGAGAGAUCAGGGAGUGCUCGAAAGAGAACCAGUACACAGGUGCUGCAUGGCUGUCGUCAGCUCGUGUCGUGAGAUGUUGGGUUAAGUCCCGCAACGAGCGCAACCCUUGUCAUUAGUUGCUACGAAAGGGCACUCUAAUGAGACUGCCGGUGACAAACCGGAGGAAGGUGGGGAUGACGUCAAGUCCUCAUGGCCCUUAUGGGUAGGGCUUCACACGUCAUACAAUGGUACAUACAGAGCGCCGCCAACCCGCGAGGGGGAGCUAAUCGCAGAAAGUGUAUCGUAGUCCGGAUUGUAGUCUGCAACUCGACUGCAUGAAGUUGGAAUCGCUAGUAAUCGCGGAUCAGCAUGUCGCGGUGAAUACGUUCCCGGGUCUUGUACACACCGCCCGUCACA
rnacentral:rRNA from 1 species